GACACGGUCCAAACUCCUACGGGAGGCAGCAGUGAGGAAUAUUGGUCAAUGGGCGAGAGCCUGAACCAGCCAAGUAGCGUGAAGGAUGACUGCCCUAUGGGUUGUAAACUUCUUUUAUAAAGGAAUAAAGUCGGGUAUGGAUACCCGUUUGCAUGUACUUUAUGAAUAAGGAUCGGCUAACUCCGUGCCAGCAGCCGCGGUAAUACGGAGGAUCCGAGCGUUAUCCGGAUUUAUUGGGUUUAAAGGGAGCGUAGAUGGAUGUUUAAGUCAGUUGUGAAAGUUUGCGGCUCAACCGUAAAAUUGCAGUUGAUACUGGAUAUCUUGAGUGCAGUUGAGGCAGGCGGAAUUCGUGGUGUAGCGGUGAAAUGCUUAGAUAUCACGAAGAACUCCGAUUGCGAAGGCAGCCUGCUAAGCUGCAACUGACAUUGAGGCUCGAAAGUGUGGGUAUCAAACAGGAUUAGAUACCCUGGUAGUCCACACGGUAAACGAUGAAUACUCGCUGUUUGCGAUAUACUGCAAGCGGCCAAGCGAAAGCGUUAAGUAUUCCACCUGGGGAGUACGCCGGCAACGGUGAAACUCAAAGGAAUUGACGGGGGCCCGCACAAGCGGAGGAACAUGUGGUUUAAUUCGAUGAUACGCGAGGAACCUUACCCGGGCUUAAAUUGCAGAUGAAUUACGGUGAAAGCCGUAAGCCGCAAGGCAUCUGUGAAGGUGCUGCAUGGUUGUCGUCAGCUCGUGCCGUGAGGUGUCGGCUUAAGUGCCAUAACGAGCGCAACCCUUGUUGUCAGUUACUAACAGGUUCCGCUGAGGACUCUGACAAGACUGCCAUCGUAAGAUGUGAGGAAGGUGGGGAUGACGUCAAAUCAGCACGGCCCUUACGUCCGGGGCUACA
rnacentral:rRNA from 1 species